UUCGAUUAACGCGAAGACCUUUACCCAGGCUUGACAGCGAGUGACCACUCACGAAAGUGAGCUUCCGCAAGGACACUCGAGAGGUGCUGCAUGGCUGUCGUCAGCUCGUGUCGUGAGAUGUUGGGUUAAGUCCCGCAACGAGCGCAACCCUUGUUCGCUGUUGCCAUCAGGUUAAGCUGGGCACUCUGCAAAGACUGCCGGUGAUAAACCGGAGGAAGGUGGGGAUGACGUCAAGUCAGCAUGGCCUUUAUGUCUGGGGCUACACACGUGCUACAAUGGCCGGUACAAACCGUCGCAAGCCCGCAAGGGGGAGCUAAUCGGAGAAAGCCGGUCUCAGUUCGGAUAGCAGGCUGCAACUCGCCUGCUUGAAGUUGGAAUCGCUAGUAAUCGCGGAUCAGCACGCCGCGGUGAAUACGUUCCCGGGCCUUGUCACACCGAAUCACUA
rnacentral:rRNA from 1 species